rnacentral:rRNA from 1 species
UGGGGAAUAUUGGACAAUGGGCGAAAGCCUGAUCCAGCCAUGCCGCGUGUGUGAAGAAGGUCUUCGGGUUGUAAAGCUCUUUUACCAGGGACGAUAAUGACGGUACCUGGAGAAUAAGCCCCGGCAAACUUCGUGCCAGCAGCCGCGGUAAUACGAAGGGGGCUAGCGUUGUUCGGAAUUACUGGGCGUAAAGCGCACGUAGGCGGAUUGUUAAGUCAGAGGUGAAAUCCCGGAGCUCAACUUCGGAACUGCCUUUGAUACUGGCAAUCUAGAGUCCGGAAGAGGUUAGUGGAAUUCCCAGUGUAGAGGUGAAAUUCGUAGAUAUUGGGAAGAACACCAGUGGCGAAGGCGGCUAACUGGUCCGGUACUGACGCUGAGGUGCGAAAGCGUGGGGAGCAAACAGGAUUAGAUACCCCCGUAGUCCCUGAGCGGGCUGGCAAGGCGCAU